AUUGAACGCUGGCGGCAGGCUUAACACAUGCAAGUCGAGCGGAGAUGAGGUGCUUGCACCUUAUCUUAGCGGCGGACGGGUGAGUAAUGCUUAGGAAUCUGCCUAUUAGUGGGGGACAACAUUCCGAAAGGAAUGCUAAUACCGCAUACGUCCUACGGGAGAAAGCCGGGGAUCUUCGGACCUUGCGCUAAUAGAUGAGCCUAAGUCGGAUUAGCUAGUUGGUGGGGUAAAGGCCUACCAAGGCGACGAUCUGUAGCGGGUCUGAGAGGAUGAUCCGCCACACUGGGACUGAGACACGGGCCAGACUCCUACGGGAGGCAGCAGUGGGGAAUAUUGGACAAUGGGGGGAACCCUGAUCCAGCCAUGCCGCGUGUGUGAAGAAGGCCUUAUGGUUGUAAAGCACUUUAAGCGAGGAGGAGGCUACUGAGACUAAUACUCUUGGAUAGUGGACGUUACUCGCAGAAUAAGCACCGGCUAACUCUGUGCCAGCAGCCGCCGCAGUAA
rnacentral:rRNA from 1 species